GUACUUGCUUCGGCAGUACACAUACUCAAAUUGAAACGAUACAGAGAAGAUUAGCAUGGCCCCUGCACAAGGAUGACAC
rnacentral:snRNA from 1 species